rnacentral:lncRNA from 1 species
ACCCGAGACUCAAAGAUUCUCUUCUACAUCCUGCUACCAUGCAUCCUGCUGGUUCUCAUUUUGUUUCUGCUCGCUGCUGUGAUGUUGGUGAGACUGUCCAAGAAGAGGAAAAAAGCGCUUUCAGGAGCAUCUGUGCAGAGUGACAAGAAAAUCAACCUGUCAAAUUUGGCGGUUGGGAACAAUGCAGCAUAUGGCAGCCCAGAGUAUGCGGUUAUAGAUUCUCCCGCAGCCACUGACCAAACAGGACUUUACAGCAAUGUUGAGAUCCUUCCUAACUCACUGAACCCUGACAGCAAUUAUGUAGGAAUCCAGCCCCACUGUCAGGUAGGAAGAAAAUGCAACAGCUUCCCUGAGGAGCUCAGGACUGCAGCUAAGUCAAGAUCACCCACUCAGGGCUCAGCGGGAAACACUUAACAAGGCAGGGAACUCCCCUCUCUGCCAGCUCUGCAGACUUAAGAUAAACUGGACUUAUUUAAAACUGGACUCAAGACUGCAGCCCUUACUCAGACAAAUCGUCCCAAGCACUUCAAUGGGGCUACCUGCAUGAGUGAGAGUUGCAGGGUAGACCCACAGCAUAGGAAGCAGUCUGGGGUUAGCAUCUA